GACGAACGCUGGCGGCGUGCUUAACACAUGCAAGUCGAACGGAAAGGCCCUGCUUUUGUGGGGUGCUCGAGUGGCGAACGGGUGAGUAACACGUGAGUAACCUGCCCUUGACUUUGGGAUAACUUCAGGAAACUGGGGCUAAUACCGGAUAGGAGCUCCUGCUGCAUGGGGGGGGUUGGAAAGUUUCGGCGGUUGGGGAUGGACUCGCGGCUUAUCAGCUUGUUGGUGGGGUAGUGGCUUACCAAGGCGUUGACGGGUAGCCGGCCUGAGAGGGUGACCGGCCACAUUGGGACUGAGAUACGGCCCAGACUCAGACGGGAAGCAGCAGUGAGGAAUAUUGCACAAUGGGCGGAAGCCUGAUGCAGCAACGCCGCGUGCGGGAUGACGGCCUUCGGGUUGUAGACCGCUUUCGCCUGUGACGAAGCGUGAGUGACGGUAAUGGGUAAAGAAGCACCGGCUAACUACGUG
rnacentral:rRNA from 1 species